CUUGUCCGGGAUUUGCAGAAGGAGGCAGAAAUGAUGACAGUGUGCCAUGACGCUGGCUGCACAGCUGGGGCUGCACACUCCAUGGAGCCAAUGGGAGCCCUGCCCCUUCUGAAUUGGGACAAGAGCUCCCUGGGUGCUGCUGCAGCCACCCAAACCGCAGCUGCAGACCCAGGCCUCCUGCUCUAGGAAGCAAGCAGGAGCCCCACCCUCUUGGACGGAGCUACAGCUACCCAAACUGCAUCUGUGGAUCCGAGCUUCCCUGUGCUCUUGAGGGAGAGCCGGGAGCAGGUAAGAUCUGCCUUCCCAGGUGCCACUGUGGCUGCCCUUCCAGGUACAGGAGCUGGGUGUUUCUACAGCCUGCAUGCUUGGGAGCCCCAGGAAGGACCCCUGAACCCUGCAGUCAUGGGGGUGUCUGGUGUCUGUCUGGCCUACCUCCAGUCCAGGCACCUGCUCUGAUCUUGGAGCGGGGUUUGGGGCUGAACCCAGGGACCAUGAAUGGCAGUGGGAGGCAGAUUGAUUCCAAGGCAGAAGGGGGCAGAUCCCCAGUAAGGCCCCACCUUUGGGCCAGGGAGGACCUGAAGGCUGGGGGCUGGACUGACAGUCCCACGGACCAGAGUGGGGACUUGUGGUAUCUCUUCCAGGCCCACCCAUGGCUUCCCGUGGGCCAAUUGGCACAAACUUUCUUCCCUCUGAGGUCCAUAAAAGCCCUGGGGUCAGCCAGAGCAGGGCAGAGGAUGGCCAGAGGACAAAGAAGGCAGAAAGAUGUCAGUGCAACCAGCUGCAGAGAUGCAGAGAGGAGUAUCCUCUGCUGAGAGCUGCAGAGAUGACCUGUUGGCAGAGAGGAGCUACUCUCUCUGCAGAGAGCUUCAGAGACCUGCAGAGAUGUCUGAAUGACCUGCCUGCAGAGAGGAGCCACCCUCUCCAGGGCCUCCUCUCUGCUGAGAACUGAAUACUCCAUGGGAUGACCUGCCUACAGAGAGGAGCUACCCACUGUGGGUCUCUUCUGAGCUGUUCUAACACUAAAUAAAACUCUUCAUCUUCACCCUUCACUUGUCUGUGACCCUUAUUCUUCCUAGAUGCAGGACAAGAACAAGAACUCGAGCACCAUGGCCACAGAGGUUUUUCUGUAAGAAAAAUCGAUCCCAUAACACUAGGAUUACAGACACAAGCCACUGGGCCUG
rnacentral:lncRNA from 1 species